rnacentral:misc_RNA from 1 species
GGGCAUAAAACACAAACUGUGAUAUUGAAAAUUUUUUAAUUUUCACUAAAAGAUGGUAUCUACAUCGUUAUCAAUUCUACAAUUAAAAAACAUUUUGAGAAAAAGUUACAUUUUCACUUUUCAGGAAACCAUUUUCUCUCACCUCAAUUCUUGGCCAAUGGCCAGCGAAGCUGAGAUAAUGUUUGGUACGAAAGCCAACAAAAAAAUUUCAACGCUCUGGAUUGCUUUGCCAAGAAGUCAAGAAUCCAGCGGUCAUUCACGUCAAGAUUUCAAGAAUCCAGGCUACGGAGGGACCGGAAAUAUAAGAUCUGGCCGGCUCAUCCUAGGCAAUAUAUGGACCGCCACAGCUUCAAAUCCCGGAGGUGUCUCCACUACCCAUAAUCUUACUGGCACUGACAUCACAUCCAGCACGACAAUCCCACCACUGUUGCUCCCGCCGCAUACGACGCAAACUCUACCACCGCCUGCAGCAAUCUGUUGUGCUCCUAUAAGCCUCUCAGACUCCAUUAUUUUCUCCCAGUCAUCCGUCUCAGGUUCAUAUUUUUUUAGCGCACCCUUGGCUUCAUCUACCACAUACAUCACCUUCUCAUCCAUGGCUGCCACAGGACCUUUCCACCCAGCAAGCAUUCCCUCUGGCAUGUCCUCCCAAGUGUCCUUCUCAGUGUCAUAAACUGACCCUUCUUUCGCUGCAUCCCCUUUUGCAUUCACCAUACAUAGCUUCCCUCUCCACCCUACUGCAUCAAUGGCGUCUCUACUAAAUCUUCCAUCUUUCAAUCCUUUGACCUUCUCCCAUUUCCAAGAGCUACCCUUGCUCCUGGUCGUCAAACAAUGACC